AGCCAACCUCUAGCCCCACCCAACCAAUCAAAAACACACUUUUUUCCAAACAACCAAAACAUUCUCCUCAACCCAGUAUAGGCGAUAGAAAAGAACCCCCCCAGAGCGCGAUAGAGACCAUGUACCGUAAGGGAAAGAUGAAAUAACAGUGAAACCUAAAGCAACAAACAGCAAAGACGAACCCUUGUACCUUUUGCAUCAUGAUUUAGCAAGAACAACCAAGCAAAAUGAACUUAAGCUUGCCCCCCCGAAACCCGAGCGAGCUACUUGCAAGCAGCUACACAUCUGAGCGAACCCAUCUCUGUUGCAAAAGAGUGGGAUGACUUGCUAGUAGAGGUGAAAAGCCUACCGAGCCGAGUGAUAGCUGGUUGCCUGUGAGACGAACCUAAGUUCCCCCUUAGCCCUCCUCCCCAGCUGAACACACAACCUAGCACGAGAAGACUAAGAGUGCUUUAAAGGAGGUACAGCCCCUUUAAAAUAGGACACAACCUCCGCCAGAGGAUAACAACCCAGACACCAUAAACAGUGGGCCUUCAAGCAGCCACCAACAAAGAAUGCGUCAAAGCUCAACACCCCCAAAAAUCUAACAAACAACACGAUUCCCUCCCCACUAACAGGCUAAUCUAUAGACAUAGAAGAAUUAAUGCUAGAAUGAGUAACUUGGGCCCUCCCCUCUAAAGCGCAAGCUUACAUCACCUCAUUAUUAACAGGCAGCCAUAUAUGCCAAACCCCUAGCAAGAAUGAAGUAUUAACCAACCCUGUUAACCCAACCCAGGAGCGCCUGCUAGAAAGAUUUAAAUCUGUAAAAGGAACUAGGCAAACCCAAGGCCCGACUGUUUACCAAAAACAUAGCCUUCAGCACAUCAAGUAUUGAAGGUGACGCCUGCCCAGUGACACCACGUUUAACGGCCGCGGUAUCCUAACCGUGCAAAGGUAGCGCAAUCAAUUGUCCCAUAAAUCGAGACCUGUAUGAAUGGCCAAACGAGGUCUUAACUGUCUCUUACAGAUAAUCAGUGAAAUUGAUCCCCCUGUGCAAAAGCAGGGAUACACCCAUAAGACGAGAAGACCCUGUGGAACUUGAAAAUCAGCGACCACCCCCCACAACCCCCGCUCCCUCAAGGGACCCCUCACCACACCACAUUGGCCGCCAUUUUUCGGUUGGGGCGACCUUGGAGAAAAACGAAUCCUCCAAAACAAAGACCACACCUCUUAACCAAGAACACCACCUCAACGUGCUAAUAGCAACCAGAUCCAGUAGUAACUGAGCAAUGAACCAAGCUACCCCAGGGAUAACAGCGCAAUCCCCUCCAAGAGCCCCUAUCGACGAGGGGGUUUACGACCUCGAUGUUGGAUCAGGACAUCCUAAUGGUGCAGCCGCUAUUAAGGGUUCGUUUGUUCAACGAUUAACAGUCCUACGNGAUCUGAGUUCAGACCGGAGCAAUCCAGGUCGGUUUCUAUCUAUGAUGAACCCUUCNUAGUACGAAAGGACCGGAAGAGUAGGGCCCAUACCGUACAGUACGCCCUCAAAAAAAUAAUGAAUACAACUCAAUUACCAGCACCCCCCCUUCACCCUAGACAAGGGCA
rnacentral:rRNA from 1 species